AACUUCAGAGAGAGAUCCGACUGUUCGCCAAGGUCUGAGUGAAGCCUUAUCGGGGCCUUGAGCUGGCCGGAGGUUUCUGUCUGGUAGGUGUGCGGAGGAUACAAGAGAGGACCCAGGAGAGCGAGACACGUCGGGGAGGUACUGCGUCACGUUGUCCGACACGAACACGAUGCUGCCCUCCCGGUUUACCACGAACAGGAAGCCAUCCAGAGCCUGGAGCAGAGCGGCCGGAAGUUACCAACGGCCAGGUGGCCAAUCGUAAGCAUUGAUAAAAAGCACGUGAUUGACAGGGGAGGAGAGCUGGGCUCACCUGCAGCAGAAGUGGACCCAGGUGGUCCUUGUCGAUGACCCCCUGACCAGUUGAGGACACGUCUGACUUUUGAACGUCGUCAUCGUUGGAUGAAGCUUUACCUGGAGGAGAGGGAAUGAAUCACAACAAUAAAUAAAUAAAUCGAUGACAUCACACGCAGUCAGUUCAAGCCCAGCUGUUUUCAAAGAAGAAAAAAAAAGAGCAAAGGAGAAACAAGAGACUGACAAACAUAAACAUGUCUCGUCGGCCGCCUCC